rnacentral:rRNA from 1 species
AUGGACAAGAAGGCUGGUGCCGAAAGGGUCUCGGCGGAGGAGAACUGCUCCGGGAAGAAGGCUAAGGUUACGGCUGAGGUGACGAAGAUCACUCUCAACGUAAACCCCAAGUUGCUGGAGUGCUCUGGUUGUUGCAGUCCGUUGGUUCCACCAAUUUUUCAGUGCGCAAAUGGCCACAUCACAUGCUUAAAGUGUUGCGCCGAUCUGAAGCAACGUAGUUGCGGCUUGUGUGCCUCGGAGCGCACCGGCUGCCACGUCUGGGGGCGCAUCCUCGGCGGCCUGACCAUGCCGUGCUCGUUCAAGGAGCACGGGUGCACCGAGACGAUCCCGUUCACGGAGAAGCUAGCCCAUGAAGAGUCCUGCCUCCAUGCCCCAUGCCACUGUCCCAUCGCUGGCUCCCGCCCCUACCGUGGACGGUCCCUGCGCGACCACAUCAACAUGGAGCACGCUACAAUCCAGUACACCCGUGUCACAGCCAGCAGCCUCUCCCCCCUGAGCAUGCGCAACGACGAGCCAGCCCGCCUGGUGUCCCUCGGCAGCAGGGCGGUGUUUCUCCUUGUGGUCGACCGCAGCAUCCCAUCGGGGCGUGCACUGUCGGUGAUCCACCUCGUGAGUGACCCGAUAGAAAAGGAGGAUUUCAAGUACAAGAUCGAAGUGCAUACGCGGAUUGGCAUUCUCUCUGUGUCCGGCAGCAAGACACCGAGCGUCGGGCGGCUGACGACGACGUACCAGGCGGGUGCGUCGCUGCUCGUCUCGGACAUUGUGUGGUCUCCCCAGGAUUCUCCCGUGUACCUCGAGCUGAAAUGA